AUUGAUUUACCUUCAGAUGUGUUUAGGACAAAACCUUCUGACCAUAGACCUGCUGGAUGACCUUGGCAUGAAAGGAUUUAUUACUCCUCCACUGAAUGCACUUCUGGCACCAAAUGGAGCUGGAUAAUAAUUGUCAGGCUCUGAGUUUAACAUUAUGAGAAAACACCUUUGGUGGAGUUCAGAGUUUAGCGGGUAAUGAAAAAUGCACCUAGAUGGGGAAGCUUCCUUUGAGACUUUGCUCGGCUGCUAAUGGCCACUGAUCAAUGCUCAAUGGCUGUUUUGUCAGAAGAAAUGUGCAGUGAGAGACCUGUCCUAUUGUGCUUUGUUAGCGGCUUCUUCAAUCUCUGGACAAAACUGAAAUGUCAGAAGUUGAAGACCAGGACUUGAAUAAAGCUUGUGCAUUUUAAAAUACAAUAUUCUCUUCUGUGAAAGAUUUGAAAUUGUUUGGUUAUAAAUUUAGGGUCAUUAUGAGGAAUAUUUUCUCCCAUAAUCCAGUCUAUGUUAGUUUCAGGCAUUUUGUAUGCAUGGUUUCCUUUACAUUCCGGAGAAAUGAGUUGCUCUUAAUGUUUUUCAUUCAAAUAAAAUCUGGUUAUUUGUUGUUAAAGCCA